AUUGAACGCUGGCGGCAGGCCUAACACAUGCAAGUCGAACGAGUGGCGGACGGGUGUGUAAUGUCUGGGAAACUGCCUGAUGGAGGGGGAUAACUACUGGAAACGGUAGCUAAUACCGCAUACCAUCAGAUGUGCCCAGAGGGGAUUAGCUAGUUGGUGGGGUAACGGCCCACCAGGGCGACGAUCCCUAGCUGGUCUGAGAGGUUGACGGGCCACCCGGGAACUGAGACACGGUCCAGACUCCUACGGGAGGCAGAAGUGGGGAAUAUUGCACAAUGGGGGAAAGCCGGCUGCAGCCAUGCCGCGUGUAUGAGGAAGGCCUUCGGGUGGUAAAGUACUUUCAGCGGGGAGGCGUUACCCGCAGAAGAAGCACCGGCUAACUCCGUGCCAGCAGCCGCGGUAAUAC
rnacentral:rRNA from 1 species